UAGUUAGUAACAUUGUCCUGGUCUAUAAUACCUCCAGAACUCUAGUAGUAGUAAUAGUUAGUAACAUUGUCCUGGUCUAUAAUACCUCCAGAACUCUAGUAGUAGUAAUAGUUAGUAACAUUGUCCUGGUAUAUAAUACCUCCAGAACUCUAGCAGUAGUAAUAGUUAGUAACAUUGUCCCUGUGUUUAAUACCUCCAGAACUCCAGCAGUGUGGCUCUGCUCCAUAAGCACCUCCAGCUGCUGCUGCCCCACGCUACAGACAUCUUCUCCCGCUCCGCCACCCUGCUGCAGGAGAGCUCCUGGAACGGCAGCAUCAGAGAGAAACUACGAGGUUAUUAUGUCUACUACUGUAUCACUCUGUCUCUCUCUCUCUCUGUCUCCCCCUCUAUCUCUCUCUCUCGCUCUCUCUUGCUCUCUCUCUCUCUCUCUCUCUUGGUCUCUCUCUCUCUUUCUCUCUCUGUCUCUCUCUCUGCCUCUGUCUCUCUGUCUCUCUCUCUGUCUCUCUGUCUGCCUCUCUUUCUCCCUCUCUCUGUCUCUCUCUCUCUCUCUCUCUGUCUCUCUCUUUCUUAAUAAUAAAGUUAUCAAAUAAAACAAAUGUAAUAUAAUAUAAAUAUUUUAUUAAAGUAAAAUAAUUAACUGAUGGUUGAUAAGAGAUAAGCAGUAAUGAACAGUCACUACCGUCAUGGGACUUGGGUAUUAAUGGGUAUUAAUUUAUGGGUAUUAAUUUAACAUAAUGCAUAGUACAUUUCAUGCUUUUCUAGGGAGUUUUUCCUAGCCACCGUGCUUCUACACCUGCAUUGCUUGCUGUUUGGGGUUUUAGGCUGGGUUUCUGUACAGCACUUUGAGAUAUCAGCUGAUGUACGAAGGGCUAUAUAAAUACAUUUGAUUUGAUUUGAUUUGUUCUUCAUUGACUUGCCUGGUUAAAUAAAGGUCAAAUAAUAAUAUGGAGGUAGAGCCAGAAGAGGACUGGACACCCCACAUAGCCUGGUUCCUCUCUAGGUUUCUUCCUAGGUUUUGGCCUUUCUAGGGAGUUUUUCCUAGCCACCGUGCUUCUACACCUGCAUUGCUUGCUGUUUGGGGUUUUAGGCUGGGUUUCUGUACAGCACUUUGAGAUAUCAGCUGAUGUACGAAGGGCUAUAUAAAUACAUUUGAUUUGAUUUGAUGUAAAGACAUAAAUAAUAGUCAAAACCAUAAUCGUGAUUAUAUUUUGAAAAGCGGACCGAAUCUGAACCGACUUUAAAAAUGGCUAAUCGCUCAGCAUUAAUAUCAACCCAGCAGGGAUCCAAUUUCACCCCUUCUAAUAUCAACCCAGCAGGGAUCCAAUUUCACCCCUUCUAAUAUCAACCCAGCAGGGAUCCAAUUUCACCCCUUCUAAUAUCAACCCAGCAGGGAUCCAAUUUCACCCCUUCUAAUAUCAACCCAGCAGGGAUCCAAUUUCACCCCUUCUAAUAUCAACCCAGCAGGGAUCCAAUUUCACCCCUUCUA
rnacentral:lncRNA from 13 species